AUUUAUAUAGUAUACCGCUUAUUAUAUUUGAUUUCCAAUUAAAAGAACUAACUUUGAUUAGUAUAAAUA
rnacentral:tRNA from 1 species